rnacentral:rRNA from 1 species
AUACGGAGGGUGCAAGCGUUACUCGGAAUCACUGGGCGUAAAGCGCGCGCAGGCGGUCUUUUAAGUUGGAUGUGAAAGCCUACGGCUCAACCGUAGAACUGCAUCCAAAACUAUUAGACUAGAGUGUGAGAGAGGAAGAUGGAAUUAGUUGUGUAGGGGUAAAAUCCGUAGAGAUAACUAGGAAUACCAAAAGCGAAGGCAAUCUUCUGGAACACUACUGACGCUGAGGCGCGAAAGCGUGGGGAGCAAACAGCAUUAGAUACCCUAGUAGUCC